rnacentral:rRNA from 1 species
UACGUAGGGGGCAAGCGUUGUUCGGAAUUACUGGGCGUAAAGGGCUCGUAGGUGGCCAACUAAGUCAGACGUGAAAUCCCUCGGCUUAACCGGGGAACUGCGUCUGAUACUGGAUGGCUUGAGUUUGGGAGAGGGACGCGGAAUUCCAGGUGGUAGCGGUGAAAUGCGUAGAUAUCUGGAAGGAACACCGGUGGCGAAGGCGGGCGU